rnacentral:rRNA from 1 species
GACGAACGCUGGCGGCGUGCUUAACACAUGCAAGUCGAACGGAAAGGCCCUGCUUUUGUGGGGUGCUCGAGUGGCGAACGGGUGAGUAACACGUGAGUAACCUGCCCUUGACUUUGGGAUAACUUCAGGAAACUGGGGCUAAUACCGGAUAGGAGCUCCUGCUGCAUGGUGGGGGUUGGAAAGUUUCGGCGGUUGGGGAUGGACUCGCGGCUUAUCAGCUUGUUGGUGGGGUAGUGGCUUACCAAGGCUUUGACGGGUAGCCGGCCUGAGAGGGUGACCGGCCACAUUGGGACUGAGAUACGGCCCAGACUCCUACGGGAGGCAGCAGUGGGGAAUAUUGCACAAUGGGCGGAAGCCUGAUGCAGCAACGCCGCGUGCGGGAUGACGGCCUUCGGGCUGUAAACCGCUUUCGCCUGCGACGAAGCGUGAGUGACGGUAAUGGGUAAAGAAGCACCGGCUAACUACGUG